GUGGAAAGUGGCGGACGGGUGAGUAACGCGUAGGAAUUUACCUAAAGGUACGGAACAACUAAUGGAAACGUUAGCUAAUACCGUAUGAUGCCUCCGGGCCAAAGAUUUAUCGCCUUUAGAUGAGCCUGCGUAAGAUUAGCUUGUUGGUGAGGUAAAAGCUCACCAAGGCGACGAUCUUUAGCUGGUCUGAGAGGAUGAUCAGCCACACUGGGACUGAGACACGGCCCAGACUCC
rnacentral:rRNA from 1 species